rnacentral:pre_miRNA from 1 species
GAAAAGAUAACUUGAAUGACCACGAGUAUUCUUGGGGAACUAACAUUUAUUUGCUAUGGUUAUUGCUUGAGAAUACACGUAGUUAAUAAGUUAAUUGCUAC